AGGUUAAAGUGCAUUAUCCAAAAUUUAAAAAUGGUGAAGCUGUUGUAAGAAAUGUAAAAGUUGCUCAGGAUUUUGGGUAUGUUGAAGAUAUAUAUCAAGUGUUGUGCUCUGCACUCAUUGAUGAGGAAACAUUGGAAAAAGCCAAAGGUGAUCUUUUACGAAUGGCUCCAUUGCCAAUGAAUUCUACGUUGGACAAGCAAUCAAAAAGUGAAGCUAUCUCGAAAAAAGCAAGAAGACAAAGCAUGCCAGCUGUACAUUUCCCCCAACUAAGCCAGUUUCACCUGUCCAAGAAAAGAUCACUAAUCAGGAAAAUGAGA